AGACUCUCCAAAACAAAGGACAAUGAGUUUCACUAUACUUCCCCAAUGAUCCCAGCAUGCGACAAUGCCAGGCAAUGGCCCCUGGGCAUGCGGUGAUGGGAACUAAUGUAUGGAAGAAAAAGUCACAAACCACAGAAAUUUGUAAAGAACCCCUCCCCCCCCAUACAUACACACUCAGAUACAUAAUAGAAUUACAGGGUGAGCAAUACACUUAUGAGGAGAUUAGGACAGGAAUUCUGCUGUUAAGAGGAAAGAUAGGUAAGCAAAGGGAGAGUUCCUAACCACUGUCAACUAUAUGGUAGGGAGAAUUCUCUCCCUCAAAACGAAAAUAGUCUAUCCCCUCAGGGCACCUGUUAGACCUAGCCCACCUCAUACUCAAUCAGGGGGCCACUGCCCUAAUAAUGGGGGGGCAAAAAAAAAAAAAGAAAACAAAACAAACUUAAAAGAAGUCAAGGAAAGGGAAACUGGGCAGGCUUCAGAAGCAGGAGAAUCAAGAGAUAAAUUAAAACUGGUCAGCAUUAAUAGGAUUUCAAAGCUGACCCAACGGAAUACACUUAUACAAGGAUCUGAAUUCCUAAAUUCUCCACGUCGGGUUUUUAAAGGGUAG
rnacentral:lncRNA from 1 species